UCGGGAAUAUUGCGCAAUGGAGGAAACUCUGACGCAGUGACGCCGCGUAUAGGAAGAAGGUUUUAGGAUUGUAAACUAUUUUAGACAGGGAAGAAAAAUGACAGUACCUGUAGAAUAAGCUCCGGCUAACUACGUGCCAGCAGCCGCGGUAAUACGUAGGGAGCAAGCGUUAUCCGGAAUUAUUGGGUGUAAAGGGUGCGUAGACGGGAAUACAAGUUGGUUGUGAAAGCCCUCGGCUCAACUGAGGAACUGCAACCAAAACUAUAUUUCUUGAGUGCAGGAGAGGAAAGCGGAAUUCCUAGUGUAGCGGUGAAAUGCGUAGAUAUUAGGAGGAACACCAGUGGCGAAGGCGGCUUUCUGGACUGUAACUGACGUUGAGGCACGAAAGUGUGGGGAGCAAACAGG
rnacentral:rRNA from 1 species